rnacentral:lncRNA from 1 species
CUUUGUUUAUAUGUGUGAGCUUUUUGUUUGUCGAAAAUAUUAUCAUCUCUCACAUAUAUUUGAGUGAAAAAGCUUUUAAGCAUUAGCCUUGAUCGGAGAGAAGAAAGAGUGGUGAAUCCUGUGAGGUUUGAAUCAUACUUGUUGGAUACAUGCUAAGCUCCACCCAUCACCAUUGUCACAUCCGUGUCUUACAUGCUUAUAUGUGGAAUAUAUGUUUUAAUUAACUCUUGAAUUACUUAUGAUUGAUUCUUGGUUGCAUGCUAAUCUUGAUGCUAUGAAAGGACUAGCAAAAGCUAAGUGUGGGGGAAUUUGAUAGGAGCAUAAAUGCGACGAAUAUAGUGUGAAAUCCCUUACACUUUUCUUAGCUAUUUCCUUUAAAAAGUCAGUUUUAACUUUAUUUUCUUUUUAGGUAGUUCGUGAAGUGAUU